CUACGGGUUGCUCCAGUGAGGAAUAUUGCACAAUGGAGGAAACUCUGAUGCAGCAACGCCGCGUGGAGGAUGACGCAUUUCGGUGUGUAAACUCCUUUUAUGAGUCAAGAAAAUGACGGUAGCUCAUGAAUAAGCACCGGCUAACUCCGUGCCAGCAGCCGCGGUAAUACGGAGGGUGCAAGCGUUACUCGGAAUCACUGGGCGUAAAGGACGCGUAGGCGGGUUGAAAAGUCAGGUGUGAAAGCCUAAAGCUUAACUGUAGAACUGCACUUGAAACUCUCAACCUAGAGUAUGGGAGGGGCAGAUGGAAUUAGUGGUGUAGGGGUAAAAUCCGUAGAUAUCACUAGGAAUACCUAAAGCGAAGGCGAUCUGCUGGAACAUUACUGACGCUAAGGCGUGAAAGCGUGGGGGGCAAACAGGAUUAGAUACCCCCGUAGUC
rnacentral:rRNA from 1 species